ACUCCUACGGGAGGCAGCAGUGAGGAAUAUUGGUCAAUGGGCGCAAGCCUGAACCAGCCAUGCCGCGUGCAGGAUGACGGUCCUAUGGAUUGUAAACUGCUUUUGUACAGGAAGAAACACUCCCUCGUGAGGAGCUUGGACUGGUACUGUAAGAAUAAGGAUCGGCUAACUCCGUGCCAGCAGCCGCGGUAAUACGGAGGAUCCAAGCGUUAUCCGGAAUCAUU
rnacentral:rRNA from 1 species